rnacentral:lncRNA from 1 species
AGGCCGCGGAGUCGGCGGUGUUGUAGGUAGCGGUACCUUGAGUGGCAACAGAAUUCGAUUAAAUUACAAUGGGAAACAUUUUUGAAAAGCUCUUUAAAAGUCUACUUGGGAAAAAAAAGAUGCGGAUUCUUAUAUUGAGUUUGGAUACAGCUGGAAAAACCACCAUCUUGUAUAAAUUGAAGCUGGGGGAGACUGUGCCUGCCGUCCCUACAGUAGGUUUCUGUGUGGAGACAGUAGAAUAUAAAAAUAACACCUUCGCUGUCUGGGAUGUUGGCAGCCACUUCAAAAUCAGACCUCUGUGGCAGCAUUUUUUCCAGAACACAAAAGCUGCUCACUCCCAAAGCCUGACAAGUUGAUGCCACUGCUGUCUGAGGGCUCCUCUGGCUCAACAAUCAGCUCAGUGCUUGUGUAGUUCUUCCGGGCUUGUAACACCUUCAUGAACGCUCCUUCUGGAUUCCCUACCGAUGCUUCUUCAGCUGUCAAAAAAGAAGAGACUGCUUUGAUCAUGAAAGAUGAUGGGAUGGGAUGCAUCAGUCCAUAGCUGUACACCCCAGUCACACAGAGUAGGAGUCAGCAAACAU